UGCUGCCUCUCUCCUCCCUCACGGCUUUCUCUCACUCUUUCACUCUCGACUUGUACGGACACACUCACCACCAAGCCUACAAGCACGGAUCGAAGGUUGUGAAGGUACCAUCGUGCUCGUGAGGACUAUACGAACUCAACCACACCCAUUUCAGGUAAGAAAUCUUUCGAUUUCACGUCGAAAUCCCAAGCACCGAUUUUGGCACUGUUCAUGAACUUUUUGUUGGUUGAUUUUUAGGACAAUCCAAGCUCAUAGUGAGCUUAGUGAGGUCCCAAGGAAGCUUGGAGUGCUUCGUUGGAAGGAUUUGGACGUCGGGAUCACGAGGGUUAAGUUUGGCCGGUUUUGCUUGGAUUUUUCCGGUGAGAUUUAGUUGUUUUUGAAGCUUAAAAGUAGUAUAUUGUGAUUCUACAUGUUGAGGGCUUUAAAUUGAUAUAUUAUACGAAGAAAAUGGUUGAGAAACGAAGGAGAACAAGGCAUUUGAAAAAUGCCCAGAAUCCGGCCACCGGAGAAAAACCAGUCCGGCGAACUCGCGAGGAAGAAGGUGCGCGUGGGCGCGCGUGGACCCGUGCCUUCCUUGGCGCGUGGGGGCGAGUUCCACAGUAACAAAAUUAUUUUAAAAAUUUGUCGACGUCCGUGACGUCGAGUAGGUCAAUGUGGUAUAUUCAUAUACCCAAAUUGAGCACCGUAUGAGAAAGUUAUUACGAUUAUUGGUUAGGUGCUUUAAAUAACGUUUUAUAGUUUUCGCAUUUAGGUGAAAAUGUGAAUUGACGAUCCGACCGUUGGAUCGUCACCAAACUUUGAUACGUUGUAAUACGUAAUAUUUGAGGAUUAUUAGAACUUACGGAUUGGGAAUCCGAGUUACGGAUCUUCCGGAAUUGGAGUUGUAAGUUCAUAAAAUAAAAUGUUAACCGUCACUUAGUUUUGGAAAUUGACGGAGAUCCGACCGUUGGAUGGUAAUGAAAUUUCAGGAUGUUGUCCUAGAGAUAUAUUGUGGACUCUGGAAGUUAUGGAUUUAAAAUCUGAGUUGCAGAUCUUUCGGAUCAAUCUACGUAGUGACGUAUUUUAUAAAAGUUAUAUUCUAUCGAUAUGAUUUCUGAGGUUGGAUUUGAUUAUUGUUCUAGGCGGCGAUCGUCAUGACGCCUUGAUGAGUUGUGCUAGGGAGUUGUAGGGCGAACUCCAAGUGAGUGGGCAGUUUUGUUUUCGUAUUACCUAUAUACUAUUGAGUUUUCCCAGAAAUUGAAUUUAAAUGAAAGCAUGAUUUAAAAUGCCAUGGAUAGAUUUAUAUGAAAAGUAUGAUUUGAAAUGCCAUGCAUAGAAGUAUAUGAAAAGCAUGAAUUGAUAUAUGAUGCAUAUAUAUAUGUGAAUUGGUGCUGUGGACGCACAGGUAAGUAUCAGGUGAGUUUUAUAUUAUUCAUGUGCAUUGUUGAUGUGUAUAUUGUGGAUAGCUCAUAACCUGCAAUCAUGGUGUUAGUGCUUAUAUUAUUCACCACACCGCACGCUCGUCUUGGAUCCAAGUAGGUGGAUGUCGUACAGACCAAGUGAGGGUUCCGACAUGCUAGUCGUAUAGAUUACUAGAUGUGAUUCCGACUAGUGGGUGACCUUAGAUUAUGUGCACAGAUGAUUGAUGAGAGAAGCACUAGAGCGUAUUAUUACACCAUCCAUGUCGUACAGACUACUUCAGGUAGUUCCGACUUAUCUGCAGUGUAGUGCCGUACAGGUCAUCGAGGUGACUCCGGUUGGAUUGGAUGUUGAGCUAUGGAAUUAACCGUACAGGACCAACUGCAGGGUCUCCGGUUAAUUCAACUUUUCACCUGUUACAUUGAUGCAUCAUUUAUUUUGUUUUCGAAAUUAAAACAUGGCAUACUUUCGGGUUUUAAAGAAAAAUUGAUGAUUCGAGAUUUAUGAAAAGUAUUAUGUUAUUAUACUAUUUUCUGGGAAAAGUAUACAGGUUUUACAGUGAGGGGUUAGAAUUAUUUUUGGCGAAAUGUUUUUGAAAAGCUUAGUUUUACUGACCCACUCAAUUUUGUUUUUCGCCCCUCCAGGUUCUUGAUAGCAGAGUUUUGGUGGCUACGAGGAAUCCAACGGUAUUCUGACAGAAAUCACAAAAGUAGGACUCACCCUCGAGGGUUUCCAUUUUAAUAAUUGUAUUUUAAAAGCUUCCGAACUGUGUAAAUGGUUACGUCACUCUC
rnacentral:lncRNA from 1 species